rnacentral:lncRNA from 1 species
AGGAAAUUGCUCUGGAGGCUAUGGAUCAUCACUGGGCAGUGGCAUUCUCCUCCUCCCAGCCCUGUCAUGGGUGAGAUGUGACAGGACCCCAGGUUCACAGCCUCCCACCCCCUGCUCCAGCCCAGGAGGAGUUUCUCUCCUGACCCUGUCCUCCUAUCCCCCCACCCACAGAGAGUCUAGACCUAGGUUGGCAGUGGUGCAGGGGACUCACAGUGGUGGGCAGGCCUAAAUGUUCUUGUGCUGAACUCGGUGUCUCAGAGUGCCUGGUGGCCAGGCUGAGGGAGACCUGCCCUGGGCUUCUUCUCAUAUCAGGCCCUGAGGACUCUGAGUGUUGUGAGACAUGCCCUGUGCUGCCCAUUGAGGCUGGGUUGUUCUGGCCAGUGGCCUGAAGCACGUGGACUUAGUCAUCCAUCCUCUCACUUGUUCCCAAGUGCUUUCCCUGUGUGGUGUCUUGAGGCUGCAGCCUUGAGGCCUGGGAAACAGCACAAUAUGUUCACUGCAGACUGUCUCCUGCCAAGUGACUGUUAGGCAGCCUUUGUGAGACUGCGGUGCCCCAUUACUGCAGGGUUCCAAGUUCUGUUGGGACCUGUCACCAUGGAAGUGAAGUCAUGUGCUGGGGUCCAUAAGAUGAGCCUCCUGGUCUGGUUGGAAAUCAGGCAGCCCAGAGCCUGGCAGAGGUCUGCACAAUGAGGACAGCACAGGCAGGCAAGCCACAUGCCCUGAUGGAGCCCCCCAGAGCAGACCUCCCUGGACAGCUGCCCCAUCAGUGGGCCCUCCUUCGUGGAUCCCAAAGGGGCCUGCAUUUUUUCCCCACAGGAGGGCAUGGUGGGAAGGAGCACCUCCAUUCCAAGCUGAAGUCCCAGCGGCAGAGCCUGUGCCAACUGCACCUGCAGGUGCUUCCUCAGCUCUGGCACCACAGCCAGAGCCAGAACCAGGAUUCCCUUGUCCUUUAACUGCACUUCUGGGGCUCCUGGUGGCUUCUCAGAGGUUGUCAGCUCCUGAGAUUCCCCUGGGGCCAGCUCCUGCCCCACACCUGCCAUUCCCCUCUAUUACUGCUGCUCAUGUUUUAUUCUUUACUUUUGUGCUUAUAUUCUGGAUUUUUGUAAAUAAUAGAGCAAUUUUAAAAUAAAAGUUAAGACUUUACUGUUGUUUAAAAU